rnacentral:rRNA from 1 species
CCUACGGGGGGCAGCAGUGGGGAAUAUUGCACAAUGGGGGAAACCCUGAUGCAGCAACGCCGCGUGAGUGAAGAAGUAUUUCGGUAUGUAAAGCUCUAUCAGCAGGGAAGAAAAUGACGGUACCUGAGUAAGAAGCCCCGGCUAACUACGUGCCAGCAGCCGCGGUAAUACGUAGGGGGCAAGCGUUAUCCGGAUUUACUGGGUGUAAAGGGAGCGUAGACGGCGAUACAAGUCUGAAGUGAAAGCCCGGGGCUCAACCCCGGGACUGCUUUGGAAACUGUGUUGCUGGAGUGCUGGAGAGGCAAGCGGAAUUCCUAGUGUAGCGGUGAAAUGCGUAGAUAUACGGAGGAACACCAGUGGCGAAGGCGGCCUGCUGGACAUUAACUGACGCUGAGGCGCGAAAGCGUGGGGAGCAAACAGGAUUAGAUACCCUGGUAGUC